rnacentral:rRNA from 1 species
GAUGAACGCUGGCGGUAUGCCUAACACAUGCAAGUCGUACGAGAGUUUUUAACUCUAGUGGCGGACGGGUGAGUAACACGUGAGAAUUUGCCUUUAGGAGGGGGAUAACAAUUGGAAACGAAUGCUAAUACCCCAUAUGCUUUUGAGUGAAAUGGAUUUUAUCCGCCUAGAGAGAAGCUCGCGGCUGAUUAGCUUGUUGGUAAGGUAAGAGCUUACCAAGGCGACGAUCAGUAUCUGGUUUGAGAGGACGAUCAGACACACUGGAACUGAGACACGGUCCAGACUCCUACGGGAGGCAGCAGUGGGGAAUAUUGGACAAUGGGCGAAAGCCUGAUCCAGCAAUGCCGCGUGAG